rnacentral:rRNA from 1 species
AUGGAGAGCGCCGGGAUGAUGAAGAUGGCCACCGGUGAGGGACCCUCCCUCCGGAAGGGUGCCGGAACUGGGUCCCGAUUGGUUUUUGGUGGCUACAUAGGCUUGCGGCGGCGGAACUCCCGAUCUAGAUUAUUUUCUGGAGGUUUCAGUAUUUAUAGGAAUUUUUGGCGUAGGUCUCACGUUAGGGGGGGGGGGAGGUCUCCGGGCUGUCCACGAGGCAGGGGUGCGCCUUCCACCCUCGUGGGCAGCCCGGGACUCUUUUGGCCCAACUCUUGCACUCCAGGGGCUUCUUUUGGUUCAUAA